GACGAACGCUGGCGGCGUGCCUAAUACAUGCAAGUCGAGCGAAGUUUUUCUGAUGCUUGCACUAUAAAGAUUUCGCGGCGCAGGGGUGUGUAACAUGUAUAGAACCUCUCUCAUAGAGUGGGACAACUAUUGGAAACGAUAGCUAAUACCGGAUAACAGCAUUACCUGCAUGGUUGAUGUUUAAAAGUUGGUUUUGCUAACACUAUGAGAUGGCUUUGCGGUGCAUUAGCUAGUUGGUGGGGUAAAGGCCUACCAAGGCCACGAUGCAUAGCCGACCUGAGAGGGUGAUCGGCCACACUGGAACUGAGACACGGCCCAGACUCCUACGGGAGGCAGCAGUAGGGAAUCUUCCGCAAUGGGCGAAAGCCUGACGGAGCAACGCCGCGUGAGUGAUGAAGGAUUUCGGUUCGUAAAGCUCUGUUGUUAGGGAAGAAUGAAUGUGUAGUAACUAGACAAAGUAGAGACGGUACCUAAUCAGAAAGCCACGGCUAACUACGUG
rnacentral:rRNA from 1 species